GUCCCUGUGGUGCAACAGGUCAGUGUGUCUGGCUAUUAACCAGAAGGUUUGUGGUUUGAGUUUCCUCAGGGACA